AGGGUAUGAAAUGUGCAUAAUACCAAUCUCCCUUUCUCCUAGGAGAAAUCAUGUGGUCUCUUGCAGCAGUUAAGAGUUGCUGGCAAACUUCCUAGGUUUGAAUCUAGGCUCCACGUAAUAGCUCUGUGAUCCUGAGAUGCCUUCUUCCUUUCCCCGCUGCCCCCCAGGCCCACUCUGGUGGAGUGGAAAAGUCCAAUGCUUUGAUACCAGGUCAUGGAGAAUAUCUUUGAUUUUCCCUGCAGCUGCAUCGGAAGUCACCAGCUUUGGAGAAGCCAUGGAAAGAUCCACCCCAGAAGAAAAAGUCUAUUGAUGAAUCAUUUAAAAAUGAAUAAACAGAAGUCCCCUACACAGCCCAUCAA